AUUGAACGCUGGCGGCAGGCCUAACACAUGCAAGUCGAGCGGAUGAAGGGAGCUUGCUCCUGGAUUCAGCGGCGGACGGGUGAGUAAUGCCUAGGAAUCUGCCUGGUAGUGGGGGAUAACGUCCGGAAACGGGCGCUAAUACCGCAUACGUCCUGAGGGAGAAAGUGGGGGAUCUUCGGACCUCACGCUAUCAGAUGAGCCUAGGUCGGAUUAGCUAGUUGGUGGGGUAAAGGCCUACCAAGGCGACGAUCCGUAACUGGUCUGAGAGGAUGAUCAGUCACACUGUAACUGAGACACGGUCCAGACUCCUACGGGAGGCAGCAGUGGGGAAUAUUGGACAAUGGGCGAAGGCCUGAUCCAGCCAUGCCGCGUGUGUGAAGAAGGUCUUCGGAUUGUAAAGCACUUUAAGUUGGGAGGAAGGGCAGUAAGUUAAUACCUUGCUGUUUUGACGUUACCAACAGAAUAAGCACCGGCUAACUUCGUG
rnacentral:rRNA from 1 species